rnacentral:rRNA from 1 species
CCUACGGGAGGCAGCAGUGGGGAAUAUUGGACAAUGGGCGGAAGCCUGAUCCAGCCAUGCCGCGUGUGUGAUGACGGCCUUAGGGUUGUAAAGCACUUUCGCCGAUGAAGAUAAUGACUGUAGUCGGAGAAGAAGCCCCGGCUAACUUCGUGCCAGCAGCCGCGGUAAUACGAAGGGGGCUAGCGUUGUUCGGAAUUACUGGGCGUAAAGCGUACGUAGGCGGAUCGUUAAGUUAGGGGUGAAAUCCCGAGGCUCAACCUCGGAACUGCCUCUGAUACUGGCGAUCUUGAGUCCGGGAGAGGUGAGUGGAACUCCUAGUGUAGAGGUGAAAUUCGUAGAUAUUAGGAAGAACACCAGUGGCGAAGGCGGCUCACUGGCCCGGAACUGACGCUGAGGUACGAAAGCGUGGGGAGCAAACAGGAUUAGAUACCCUGGUAGUCCACGCCGUAAACGAUGGAUGCUAGCCGUCGGGGAGCUUGCUCUUCGGUGGCGCAGCUAACGCAUUAAGCAUCCCGCCUGGGGAGUACGGUCGCAAGAUUAAAACUC